rnacentral:rRNA from 1 species
GCAAGUCGAGGGGUAACGAUGCUGCUUGCAGCAGGCGACGACCGGCGCACGGGUGCGUAACGCGUAUGCAACCUACCUUAUACAGGGAGAUAGCCCAGAGAAAUUUGGAUUAAUAUCCCAUAGUAUUAUUGAAUGGCAUCAUUUAAUAAUUAAAGUUCCGGCGGUAUAAGAUUGGCAUGCGUGAUAUUAGCUAGUUGGUGAGGUAACGGCUCACCAAGGCGACGAUAUCUAGGGGUUCUGAGAGGAAGAUC